rnacentral:rRNA from 1 species
GACGAACGCUGGCGGCGUGCCUAAUACAUGCAAGUCGAGCGCUGAAGGUUGUUACUUGUACCAACUGGAUGAGCAGCGAACGGGUGAGUAACGCGUGGGGAAUCUGCCUUUUAGCGGGGGACAACAUUUGGAAACGAAUGCUAAUACCGCAUAAAAACUUUAAACAAAAGUUUUUAGUUUGAAAGAUACCAUUGCAUCACACAAAGAAGAUGCAGCGUUAUAUUAGCUAGUUGGUGAGGACAAGUAGCACCACGGCGAUGGUACAUAGCCGACCUGAGAGGGUGGUCGGCCCCAUCGGGACUGGGACACGGCCCCAACUCCUACGGGAGGCGGCAGUAGCGCAUCUUCGGCAAUGGACGAAAGUCUGACCGAGCAACGCCGCGUGAGUGGAGAAGGUUUUCGGGUCGUAAAACUCUGUUUGUAGGGAAGAUCGUUGGUGAGAGUGGAAAGCUCAUCAAGUGACGGUAACUACACAGAAAGGGACGGCUAACUACGUG